AACGAACGCUGGCGGCAUGCCUAACACAUGCAAGUCGAACGAGACCUUCGUGUCUAUGGGCGCACGUGUGCUGAACGCGGGGUAACCUGCCCUUAGGUUCGGAAUAACUCCCCGAAAGAUGUGCUAAUACCGGAGAAUGUCUUCCGACCAAAGAUCUAUCGCCUUUGGAUGGGCCCGCGUUGGAUUAGCUGGUUGGUAGUGUAAAAGCCUACCAAGGCCACGAUCCAUAGCUGGUCUGUGAGGAUGAUCAGCCACACUGGGACUGCGACACGGCCCAGACUCCUACGGGAGGCAGCAGUGGGGAAUAUUGGACAAUGGGCGAAAGCCUGAUACAGCCAUGCGGCGUGAGUGAUGAAGGCCUUAGGGUUGUAAAGCUCUUUUACCCGGGAUGAUAAUGACAGUACCGGGAGAAUAAGCUCCGGCUAACUACGUG
rnacentral:rRNA from 1 species